GUGAAUCAUCAAAUCUUUGAACGCAUAUUGCACUCUCUGGUAUUCCGGAGAGUAUGCCUAUUUGAGGGUCAUUUGAAAUAAUAUAAAUUUUUCGAGUUUCUAUUGGAAUCAAAAAUGGGACGGUGCAGCACUCGUGUGGUGGUCGUCUAAAAUGCAAGACAAGCUCAUUUCUGGGGUUGCGUGAUACGUUUAGUUAGCUCGUGACUUCACAAGGAAUCUUUGAGCGUGUUAGGAAUUGUGCAGGAGAUAAAGUUUCAUUUAUCUCGUGUUGAAUUUUA
rnacentral:misc_RNA from 1 species